GACGAACGCUGGCGGCGUGCUUAACACAUGCAAGUCGAACGUAAAGGCCCUGCUUUUGUGGGGUGCUCGAGUGGCGAACGGGUGAGUAACACGUGAGUAACCUGCCCUUGACUUUGGGAUAACUUCAGGAAACUGGGGCUAAUACCGGAUAGGAGCUCCUGCUGCAUGGUGGGGGUUGGAAAGUUUCGGCGGUUGGGGAUGGACUCGCGGCUUAUCAGCUUGUUGGUGGGGUAGUGGCUUACCAAGGCUUUGACGGGUAGCCGGCCUGAGAGGGUGACCGGCCACAUUGGGACUGAGAUACGGCCCAGACUCCUACGGGAGGCAGCAGUGGGGAAUAUUGCACAAUGGGCGGAAGCCUGAUGCAGCAACGCCGCGUGCGGGAUGACGGCCUUCGGGUUGUAAACCGCUUUCGCCUGUGACGAGGCGUGAGUGACGGUAAUGGGUAAAGAAGCACCGGCUAACUACGUG
rnacentral:rRNA from 1 species